CAAGUCGCUUAAAUCAGUGGUCCCCAAUCCCCGGUCCGUGGACCGGUACCGGUCUGCCAACUUGUAUAAGUUGGCAGAGUGUACUGGAAAUUAUAAUUUAAUAUUUAAACGGUUGACAUUUAACCCAACAAUUUCAGAGACAAUAUCAGUUUAUAUAUGAAGAUGAUUCUUGGCAUGUUUCAUCUGCUGUGGACCUUAAUCUGAUCUUCUUGAUGCAAGAUGUGGGACCUCUUACUGACAUGUCAUAAAAUUUCUAUUGAUGUGUGAUUUGAAAUGGCUGGUAUUCCACACAAUGAGAUUAGAAUCAACAAUAUUGAUUAGCUCAAUGUCAUGAUAAAUAUUUAAAUUUUUGGUUUAUAUUUCAAAUUCUUACUUUAUAAGUUACUAAUAUUAGUUUGAACAAUAUUUUAUUCAUCAUGUUUGUAWCCCCUUUUAUGACAUCAUACAAUCCAAAUGGGAAAGCUCCCAAAAUGUCAGUGAGAUAGUAUUAAUGUUCAAUACAACAGAUUUUCUUUCCGAUCCAAAAUCGAGUAAAAUUUAUGUUGGUAUUGGCAAUACAGAUCCCAUACGUUGUGCAAAGACAGUUUAUUUGUUUCUUAAUUAAAUAAAAAAUAAAUGUAAUCCAUAUCUUGGCUUCAUUAAAAGAACACAAUGUACUCUGAUGCACUCAUUUUAAACUCAGAAGUACAUUGAGACAACAAUCUCGUUUACUAUAAGCUAUAUAAGCAGAAAUAUACAAAAUAUGUGAAAAUGGAGUUGCAAACUAAAAAAAAGAAAAUUAGUAAAGUAAUUACCCUACUAAAUACAUCCUUGUUUAAUAAGACUACUAUAAAAUGACAGCUGAAAUGGCUCCAUAUCACUUCUUUAAUAAACUGUCAACAUGUUCAUUUCUGAGUGAGUGAGCGUCAGCAGCACGCUGCGCUUGGGCAUUACGUCCUUACACAUUACACACUUACCAGGCGGAAGAAAAAGUAGUUCCCAUUAACAACGUUUCAUUUAGGCAAGAUYUCAAUAAUUUAGUUACUUUCUAACGUGCUCUUGUUAAUCUAAAUUAUCUCAAAUUACUAACGUGUUGAAAGUAUUGAUCCUUGGAUCUGACAACAGAUUUUAAAAAAUUAAGUUCUGGUAUCGGAAGAAUCGAUAUUUCAGUAUCAAUCCGCACAUCACUAACUAAUUGAGCACAUGAACUAAAAUAAGACUUGUUUUAUUUUUCAAGUAAACCAAACUGUUGCCAGAUACAUCUCCAAUCACGUAUUGCACCAUCUACAAGAAACUUUGGGAAUUGCAAGUGACGGCGUCCUUCACAUUCUUGAGCAGAUGACCCAACAACUUCAAACAAGACCACUUUUCAGAUUGUGAAACCACAAUCACCACUGGCCACUGGCCAUUGGAACCAUGCCUGCCCUGAUCUUCUGAAAGGAGGACAUCACAGCUACUACACCUUUCAGCAUCCGUGUGUCUGGGGCCACUCCUCUCUGUGCUGCUGACAGACGUCUUGAGAACAGCGUCCGUAACUGAGGCAAGACUUCCACAUAUAAAAGGCUAUGGCUGAUUGGAAGAAGUUCAUUGCGGAGGAAGCUCCUAUUGUUGACAUCUAAUCCCAAGRKKUUUUUUUGCUUUGGACAAUUUGGUUUGCUUGACUCUUAGGGCAUCUUAUGAGUGCGGCAGAUGUGUCAGAUCUUCAUUGUUCUGUCAUUUUACAGGAUUGUUUCAGAAUCAGAUGCCCAUCCAGACUUUAAAUUCUGACCAGUUGUCAUGUUUUAUUGUGUUUAUGUAAAACUUAAACGUAAUAAAGAUGUUAAAAGUAA